GGGCCGAUAGCUCAGUUGGUUAGAGCACCUGACUCAUAAUCUGGCGGUCGCUGGUUCGAGACCAGCUCGGCCCACCA
rnacentral:tRNA from 1 species